GGGGAGAGAGACAAGAUGGAGGAGGUCGGUGGGUUCUUUUGCGUCGUAUCUAGAGUUGUGAGAGUUGGAAGGCUAUUUUCAUUUUUCGAUUCGAUCCCUUCAAACUCUAUGUUCUAUGGUCUGUAAUAAUAAUAACUUUGUAUCAUCUUUGUGUGGUGAUUUGUGGUCAUGGACAUGGUUUUAAUCACUCUGUGUGUAAUGCCUUGGU
rnacentral:lncRNA from 1 species